GGCCCGCGGCGACCGAAUCCGUCGGCAUGGGAGCCCUGGCUGCGAGGGAGUGAGUGAGUCACAGAGAGAUUAAGCGACAGAGAGAUAGAGAGAGGGCGAGAGGCGGCGACGAGCUCGGGGCGGUGGUGGCGGAGCUCCAUGGCGGCGGUGGCGAAGACAAGGACGUUUGGGGAGAGAAGAGGGGAGGCGUCCAAGGCGGUCGCCGUUAGUCACCGCAGGUGCGGGCGGCGCCGGUGUGGGUGCGCCCGUCUUGUGCGCGCUCAGGGAGAGAAUCGGGGAGGGAGACAGAGAAAUCGGGGAGGAAGGGGAGAUCGAGCAGGGGGACUGGUGGGGCGCGCGAGGAGACAGAGGGAGAUCGGAGAGAUAGAGGGAGGGGAGGGAGGCUGGCGGCGCGGAGGAUUGGAGGAGGGAGUUAGGGUUAGUUGUACCUUCAUAUAGGAAGAAGUGGGUCGGGCCUAAAAUGGUUUGGCCCGGUAGUAUCAGUGGCGGGUCUAACUUUAAAACCCAUUAGUGAUGAGUCCAGGAACUUUUUUUUUGUAUUUUUCAUACUUCUUGUAAUAUGAAGUUCAUAUAAUUAAAUUGGCCUAUAAAUUUUCAAUAUGGUUUAAUUUUUGUGAAAAAUGGAUAGGUUUCAUUUUGAACAAUAUUAAUUGUAGUUGCUUCACAAAAAUAUCUCAUUUUUUGCAUUUGGAAAUUGGAAAAUCACUUUUUAUAACCAAAACAUGG
rnacentral:lncRNA from 1 species